rnacentral:rRNA from 1 species
AUUGAACGCUGGCGGAAUGCUUUACACAUGCAAGUCGAACGGUAGAGGGGGCAACCCCUCGAGAGUGGCGAACGGGUGAGUAAUAUAUCGGAACGUGCCCAGUCGUGGGGGAUAACGUAGCGAAAGUUACGCUAAUACCGCAUACGAUCUACGGAUGAAAGCGGGGGAUCGCAAGACCUCGCGCGAUUGGAGCGGCCGAUAUCAGAUUAGGUAGUUGGUGAGGUAAAGGCUCACCAAGCCAACGAUCUGUAGCUGGUCUGAGAGGACGACCAGCCACACUGGAACUGAGACACGGUCCAGACUCCUACGGGAGGCAGCAGUGGGGAAUUUUGGACAAUGGACGCAAGUCUGAUCCAGCCAUUCCGCGUGCAGGAUGAAGGCCCUCGGGUUGUAAACUGCUUUUGUACGGAACGAAAAGGUCUCUCUUAAUACGGGGGGCUCAUGACGGUACCGUAAGAAUAAGCACG